UGAGGAAUAUUGGGCAAUGCCCGCAAGGGUGACCCAGCAACGCCGCGUGAGGGAUGAAGUAUUUCGGUAUGUAAACCUCGAAAGAAUGGGAAGAAUAAAUGACGGUACCAUUUAUAAGCUCCGGCUAACUACGUGCCAGCAGCCGCGGUAAUACGUAGGGAGCAAGCGUUGUUCGGAUUUACUGGGCGUAAAGGGCGCGUAGGCGGCGCGGUAAGUCACUUGUGAAAUCUCUGAGCUUAACUCAGAACGGCCAAGUGAUACUGCUGUGCUAGAGUGCGGAAGAGGCAACCGGAAUUCUUGGUGUAGCGGUGAAAUGCGUAGAUAUCAAGAGGAACACCUGAGGCGAAGGCGGGUUGCUGGGCCGACACUGACGCUGAUGCGCGAAAGCCAGGGGAGCAAACG
rnacentral:rRNA from 1 species